CGAGUUGGUCGGACGGCCGCGUCGGCGCUUCGGCGUCGCCGAGGAAAGUCCGGGCUCCGAAGGGCAGGGUGGUCGGCAACACCGACCCGGGGUGACCCGCGGGAUCAGUGCCACAGAGAACAGACCGCCUGUCGGCUCCGGCCGGCAGGUAAGGGUGAAACGGUGGGGUAAGAGCCCACCAGCGCCCGAGGCGACUCGGGCGGCUAGGUAAACCCCACCCGGAGCAAGGUCAGACAGGAAGCGUCCGAGGGCGGCCCGCCCGAGCUUCCGGGUAGACCGCUAGAGGGUGUCGGCAACGGCACCCCGAGAUGGAUGGCCGUCAGGUCGGACCUCGGUCCGGCCUCACAGAACCCGGCUUACAGACCAACUCGUCCG
rnacentral:RNase_P_RNA from 1 species